rnacentral:rRNA from 1 species
UCGUAGGUGGUUUGUCGCGUCGUCUGUGAAAUUCCGGGGCUUAACUCCGGGCGUGCAGGCGAUACGGGCAUAACUUGAGUACUGUAGGGGUAACUGGAAUUCCUGGUGUAGCGGUGAAAUGCGCAGAUAUCAGGAGGAACACCGAUGGCGAAGGCAGGUUACUGGGCAGUUACUGACGCUGAGGAGCGAAAGCAUGGGUAGCGAACAGGAUUAGAUACCCUGGUAGUCCAUGCCGUAAACGGUGGGCGCUAGGUGUGAGGGUCUUUUCACGACUUUCGUGCCGUAGCUAACGCAUUAAGCGCCCCGCCUGGGGAGUACGGCCGCAAGGCUAAAACUCAAAGGAAUUGACGGGGGCCCGCACAAGCGGCGGAGCAUGUGGAUUAAUUCGAUGCAACGCGAAGAACCUUAGCUGGGCUUGACAUACACCGGAUCGGGCUAGAGAUAGUCUUUCCCUUUGUGGCUGGUGUACAGGUGGUGCAUGGUUGUCGUCAGCUCGUGUCGUGAGAUGUUGGGUUACGUCCCGGAAGGAGCGCAGCCUUGUCUUAUGUUGCCAGCAUUUGGUUGGGGACUCAUGAGAGACUGCCGGGGUCCAUUCGGAGGAAGGUGGGGAUUACGUCAAAUCAUCAUGCCCCUUAUGUCCAGGGCUUCACACAU